rnacentral:rRNA from 1 species
AACCGACUCAGGUGGUCAGGUAGAGAAUACCAAGGAGAUCGAGAGAAUCGUGGUUAAGGAACUCGGCAAAAUACCCCCGUAACUUCGGGAGAAGGGGGGCCGUCGGCGUAUAGGGAGUUACUCUCAAAAGCGUUUGGAGGCCGCAGAGACUAGUGGGUAGCGACUGUUUACCAAAAACACAGGUCCGUGUCAAGUCGCAAGACGAUGUAUAAGGGCUGACGCCUGCCCGGUGCUGGAAGGUUAAGAGGGGCGGUGCUGGAAGGUUAAGAGGGGCGGUUAUCCGCCAGGCGAAGCUGAGUAUUUAAGCCCCAGUAAACGGCGGUGGUAACUAUAAUCGGCCUAAG